GGUUAAGCGACUAAGCGUACACGGUGGAUGCCCUGGCAGUCAGAGGCGAUGAAGGACGUGCUAAUCUGCGAUAAGCGUCGGUGAGGUGAUAUGAACCGUUAUAACCGGCGAUUUCCGAAUGGGGAAACCCAGUGUGUUUCGACACACUAUCAUUAACUGAAUCCAUAGGUUAAUGAGGCGAACCGGGGGAACUGAAACAUCUAAGUACCCCGAGGAAAAGAAAUCAACCGAGAUUCCCCCAGUAGCGGCGAGCGAACGGGGAGGAGCCCAGAGCCUGAAUCAGUGUGUGUGUUAGUGGAAGCGUCUGGAAAGGCGCGCGAUACAGGGUGACAGCCCCGUACACAAAAAUGCACAUAUUGUGAGCUCGAUGAGUAGGGCGGGACACGUGGUAUCCUGUCUGAAUAUGGGGGGACCAUCCUCCAAGGCUAAAUACUCCUGACUGACCGAUAGUGAACCAGUACCGUGAGGGAAAGGCGAAAAGAACCCCGGCGAGGGGAGUGAAAAAGAACCUGAAACCGUGUACGUACAAGCAGUGGGAGCCUCUUAAUGGGGUGACUGCGUACCUUUUGUAUAAUGGGUCAGCGACUUAUAUUCUGUAGCAAGGUUAACCGAAUAGGGGAGCCGAAGGGAAACCGAGUCUUAACUGGGCGCUAAGUUGCAGGGUAUAGACCCGAAACCCGGUGAUCUAGCCAUGGGCAGGUUGAAGGUUGGGUAACACUAACUGGAGGACCGAACCGACUAAUGUUGAAAAAUUAGCGGAUGACUUGUGGCUGGGGGUGAAAGGCCAAUCAAACCGGGAGAUAGCUGGUUCUCCCCGAAAGCUAUUUAGGUAGCGCCUCGUGAAUUCAUCUCCGGGGGUAGAGCACUGUUUCGGCAAGGGGGUCAUCCCGACUUACCAACCCGAUGCAAACUGCGAAUACCGGAGAAUGUUAUCACGGGAGACACACGGCGGGUGCUAACGUCCGUCGUGAAGAGGGAAACAACCCAGACCGCCAGCUAAGGUCCCAAAGUCAUGGUUAAGUGGGAAACGAUGUGGGAAGGCCCAGACAGCCAGGAUGUUGGCUUAGAAGCAGCCAUCAUUUAAAGAAAGCGUAAUAGCUCACUGGUCGAGUCGGCCUGCGCGGAAGAUGUAACGGGGCUAAACCAUGCACCGAAGCUGCGGCAGCGACACUAUGUGUUGUUGGGUAGGGGAGCGUUCUGUAAGCCUGUGAAGGUGGCCUGUGAGGGUUGCUGGAGGUAUCAGAAGUGCGAAUGCUGACAUAAGUAACGAUAAAGCGGGUGAAAAGCCCGCUCGCCGGAAGACCAAGGGUUCCUGUCCAACGUUAAUCGGGGCAGGGUGAGUCGACCCCUAAGGCGAGGCCGAAAGGCGUAGUCGAUGGGAAACAGGUUAAUAUUCCUGUACUUGGUGUUACUGCGAAGGGGGGACGGAGAAGGCUAUGUUGGCCGGGCGACGGUUGUCCCGGUUUAAGCGUGUAGGCUGGUUUUCCAGGCAAAUCCGGAAAACCAAGGCUGAGGCGUGAUGACGAGGCACUACGGUGCUGAAGCGACAAAUGCCCUGCUUCCAGGAAAAGCCUCUAAGCAUCAGGUAACAUCAAAUCGUACCCCAAACCGACACAGGUGGUCAGGUAGAGAAUACCAAGGCGCUUGAGAGAACUCGGGUGAAGGAACUAGGCAAAAUGGUGCCGUAACUUCGGGAGAAGGCACGCUGAUAUGUAGGUGAAGCGACUUGCUCGUGGAGCUGAAAUCAGUCGAAGAUACCAGCUGGCUGCAACUGUUUAUUAAAAACACAGCACUGUGCAAACACGAAAGUGGACGUAUACGGUGUGACGCCUGCCCGGUGCCGGAAGGUUAAUUGAUGGGGUUAGCGGUAACGCGAAGCUCUUGAUCGAAGCCCCGGUAAACGGCGGCCGUAACUAUAACGGUCCUAAGGUAGCGAAAUUCCUUGUCGGGUAAGUUCCGACCUGCACGAAUGGCGUAAUGAUGGCCAGGCUGUCUCCACCCGAGACUCAGUGAAAUUGAACUCGCUGUGAAGAUGCAGUGUACCCGCGGCAAGACGGAAAGACCCCGUGAACCUUUACUAUAGCUUGACACUGAACAUUGAGCCUUGAUGUGUAGGAUAGGUGGGAGGCUUUGAAGUGUGGACGCCAGUCUGCAUGGAGCCGACCUUGAAAUACCACCCUUUAAUGUUUGAUGUUCUAACGUUGGCCCCUAAUCGGGGUUGCGGACAGUGUCUGGUGGGUAGUUUGACUGGGGCGGUCUCCUCCUAAAGAGUAACGGAGGAGCACGAAGGUUGGCUAAUCCUGGUCGGACAUCAGGAGGUUAGUGCAAUGGCAUAAGCCAGCUUGACUGCGAGCGUGACGGCGCGAGCAGGUGCGAAAGCAGGUCAUAGUGAUCCGGUGGUUCUGAAUGGAAGGGCCAUCGCUCAACGGAUAAAAGGUACUCCGGGGAUAACAGGCUGAUACCGCCCAAGAGUUCAUAUCGACGGCGGUGUUUGGCACCUCGAUGUCGGCUCAUCACAUCCUGGGGCUGAAGUAGGUCCCAAGGGUAUGGCUGUUCGCCAUUUAAAGUGGUACGCGAGCUGGGUUUAGAACGUCGUGAGACAGUUCGGUCCCUAUCUGCCGUGGGCGCUGGAGAACUGAGGGGGGCUGCUCCUAGUACGAGAGGACCGGAGUGGACGCAUCACUGGUGUUCGGGUUGUCAUGCCAAUGGCACUGCCCGGUAGCUAAAUGCGGAAGAGAUAAGUGCUGAAAGCAUCUAAGCACGAAACUUGCCCCGAGAUGAGUUCUCCCUGAGACUUAGAGUCUCCUGAAGGAACGUUGAAGACGACGACGUUGAUAGGCCGGGUGUGUAAGCGCAGCGAUGCGUUGAGCUAACCGGUACUAAUGAACCGUGAGGCUUAACCUU
rnacentral:rRNA from 1 species